UACGAAGGGUGCAAGCGUUACUCGGAAUUACUGGGCGUAAAGCGUGCGUAGGUGGUUUGUUAAGUCUGAUGUGAAAGCCCUGGGCUCAACCUGGGAAUUGCAUUGGAUACUGGCAGGCUAGAGUGCGGUAGAGGAUGGCGGAAUUCCCGGUGUAGCAGUGAAAUGCGUAGAGAUCGGGAGGAACAUCGGUGGCGAAGGCGGCAUCCUGGACCGGUAUUGACGCUGAGGCGCGAAAGCCAGGGGAGCAAACGGG
rnacentral:rRNA from 1 species